AGCUUUCAGUCACUAACCACAUUCUCUUUUUGUCCUCUUUCUUUUAUUUUAGGAAUAAGCAUUUUGCAUAUGUUGCCAUACUUGUCCGAGUCUGAAGGAAAGGAUUCGGUGCAGCUUAAAGUACCUGCAUCAAUAUUCAUUUAUUCCCCAUACAUUCUUAUGGGUUGGUUACUUCUUCUUGUAUUAGGAUCCAGUUUAACAGUACUACUCUUGCUGAAGGAAAGGAAGGAGGAUCUUGAGAGCUGGAAUAAGAAACUGAAGAAAGACUAACCAGAGAAAUUAUCAGUACAGGUUCUCCUAUUCACCAGUGCCAAACAUUUUAACCUUAGGAGUAUUAAUUGGAGGCGGAGUGGCUUGUUGAACUCCGCCCUGUGUCGAAACACAAUUAUGUUUGUUUGUUAAGUGUUACAAUUGUAAGUAUUUACAGUUUUUCUGAAUUGCUAAUACACAUUUCUUAAAACCAUCACUCUUUUUCUCAAAACCUUAAAACAUAUCCAAACCUUCAAACUAAAUUCACAGAACCCCUGACUCUUCUGGCAAAAUCAAUCGCUUCAAAACCAUUUCACCUGUACUCAAAAUCAAACAAAGCUUUCAAAUCAUACACACAUUAGUCAAUAAUAUACACACUACAGAUCAUUCAAUAGACAAUACAUCAAAAAAUGGAGAACACAGUGUCCAGUGCAUGUAGUUACAAAACCUGUUUAUUUUAUUUAGUAUAUAUUUUGCAAUAACACACACACACACACAACAAAAGAAAUACCUAAGUUUGGUGAAUAUAUUUCUGUCAUGACAACUCUCGGAGCGAUUGGCAUGGUAAAGUACAUGACAAUGUUAAUGUAUUUGGUCUUGGCGGAAUAGAUCUGCUACGCUGCUGCUGCUGCGGCAGAGCGAGUACCGAUACUUGCUACUGCCAAUACAUCCACAACAUGCUGCUGUGAGCAUGUAAGAAAUAUUGCUGCUGCAAAUAUAACAUACAUGAAAUAACCUAUAGUGUACAUGAAUCACCUCGUAGCAGAUUUAUACAGGUGGAGCUGGGGAAGGUGGAGGGUUUCUGAAGCAAACUAGUGUUGGGUUGUUCUUGAACGAUUCGUUCAUUUUGAACGAAUCUUUAAUGUGACUCGGGAAGAACGAGUCGUCUCCGGGAGUGAUUCGUUCAGUCACGCAUGCGCAACAUCCUAUAGGUUCUGUACUGGAAUUAGUCAAGUAGUUCACCUGUUUCGAGUCUUCGGGUUUUUUGAGUCAUUCGUUCAUCACGUGACAGA
rnacentral:lncRNA from 1 species